AAGCAGCACUUCGAAGAAGUUUGAGAGUAAACAAGGGUAUUCCACCGAUUCGAUUAGGUGCAGAUGUUGGCAAGAGCGGACUGGUCUCGGGGAACAUGAGUGAUAAAAUGUUGUCUAGGAAUGGCCAGAAUUAUGAAGCUGAAAGGUCAAAAUCUGUUGAUUUGAAUCAGUUGGUGGUGAGUCCAUUAGAUCCAUUGUUAGAAAAAGGUUCUGUAGUUCAGAAGAAAACAGAAAACAAUCAUGAAGGGAGUAAAAAUGUGGAUGAUACAUAUUCAAACUAUGGUUCAAAAAGUAAUAAAUCAAGAGUAAGAAGCACUACGUCAAGACUGAAUUUGGAAAUGGAAGCUCUACGAUUGAAAGAAAGGUUCGAAAAUGAGGAGUGCAUGGAACGAUUGCGAAUGAUUCAAAGCAAAAAAGAAAUAGCUUUCAAAGAAUUGGAGCUGAAGAUGAAAAUGCUCGAAGAGGAAGGUGUCACUGAUGAUGGUUCACAAGGCACUAUGUCUGAAAGAAGUAUGUAUAGAGAUCAAGAUCAGGUGAGAAAUUGGAUACGUAAAUGUGAUCCUGACCGAGUGGCAAAUUCUGAAAGGAAGCCAGAUCCAGUCUUUCCUUGGGAAGGAAAGUUUGAAGAGAGGAGAGCUCACAGAGUGGCCUCUUUUCUUUAGCGAAUUUAAGAGAUCUUCUGAGGUUUAUGGUUUGAAUGAUUACGAUAAUUUAUUGAGGUUGGAUAGGAGUUUGAAAGGCAAAGCACGUGAAACUAUCAAACCACUUUUGAGUUCACCUGAAAAUGUAAGCAAAAUUAUGAAAAUGUUAGAAAUGAACUUUGGCAGGGCUGAUUGGAUAAUAUUGAGUUUAAUGGAAAAGGUUAAAAAAUUUGGGUUUGUCAAAGAAGAUAAAUUAGAUGUUUGCAUUGCAUUUUCGAAUGCUAUUAAUAAUUUAGUUACGACUAUGAGAAAUAUUAAUUGCACAUUGUAUUUGUUCAAUCCAGAACUUAUGGCAAUAAUUGUAGAGAAGCUUGCCCCGAUACAGAAGUACAAUUGGGGUAAGUGCAAGUUGCAAAGAGACAAAGAGGGAUUACCAACUUCGUUAGAAGACUUCGCGGCAUGGUAUGAGGAUGAAAUAGGAGCAGUGGCAUCGAUUUCUAAUCCAAUUUCAAAAUCAAAGGACAUAGUUAUAAACGCUGUUAUAAGAAGACGAGAUGUGGCGUAAACGGAUGUUCUGGAAAACAUCAUCAUUUGGUUCACCUGGCGGUACCUCCGAAUGAAGAAACGUUGGCCCACGAAAAUUCAUCCUUCUGUGGCAAGCUGUCAACACAGAAGCAGUCUGUUCUUCUGAGAAUAGCAGCCGUUGUUCUUCGAGGACCGAGCAAGGAAGUGACAACUUUCGCUCUUUUUGAUGAGGGCUCGACCUGCUCUUUGGUAGAAGAACAGCUAGCCAGUGAGUUGGAAUUGUCAGGUCCUAUAGUUCCAGUGUGCUUUCAGUGGACAAACCAGGUAACUCAUUAUGAAGAUAAUUCGAGAAAAGUUUCUGUCGAAAUUUCCGGAGGAAUUAAGGUGAAACAAAAUUUUUAUAAAAUAAGGAAUUUAAGAACUGUCAAAGACCUUGAAUUGCCUCAGCAGAACGUAGACAUUGAUGAAUUAAUGGAAAAAUAUCCGUACUUAGAUCAAGAAGUCUUGAAUUCCUUAAAUAAUGCAAAGCCUAGAAUUUUAUUAGGACAAGAUAAUUGUGGUUUAAUUAUUCCUCGCCAAAUUAUACAACCUCGUUUGAACAUGCCUAUAUUAUCAAAAUCAAAAUUGGGAUGGACAAUUCAUGGACCAGUUACUGAAAAAUUAUCUCCAAUUUCUGGAAAUUCCUCCGUGAAUAUCAACUUCUGUGGUUGUUGUUCAUGUGAUGAAUUAGAAAUCCUAGUGAAAAAUAGUUUCAAAUAUGAGGAUUAUGGCAGUAAACCAGGGGAUAUUUACUCAUUAGAUGACAAGAAAGCUUUGGAAAUCAUGGAAAAUACUUCGAUUUAUAAUGGAACUCGGUUUGAAAUAGGUCAUUUAUAUAA